rnacentral:rRNA from 1 species
CAGUAGCCACGGGAAUACAGAGGGUGCGAGCGUUAAUCGGAUUUACUGGGCGUAAAGCGUGCGUAGGCGGCUUUUUAAGUCGGAUGUGAAAUCCCUGAGCUUAACUUAGGAAUUGCAUUCGAUACUGGGAAGCUAGAGUAUGGGAGAGGAUGGUAGAAUUCCAGGUGUAGCGGUGAAAUGCGUAGAGAUCUGGAGGAAUACCAAUGGCGAAGGCAGCCAUCUGGCCUAAUACUGACGCUGAGGUACGAAAGCAUGGGGAGCAAACAGGAUUAGAUACCCCUGUAGUCCCUGUCUCUUAUAC